rnacentral:rRNA from 2 species
CGCGUGAGGUGAAGNNGGGUUUCGNCUCGUAAAACUCUGUNNUAAAGNAGAACAUAUCUGAGAGUAACUNUCAGGUNUGACGGUAUUUAACCAGAAANCCACGGCUAACUACGUGCCAGCAGCCGCGGUAAUACGUAGGUGGCAAGCGUUGUCCGGGAUUUAUUGGGCGUAAAGCGAGCGCAGGCGGUUUUUUAAGUCUGAUGUGAAAGCNUUCGGCUCAACCGAAGAAGUGCAUCGGAAACUGGGAAACUUGAGUGCAGAAGAGGACAGUGGAACUCCAUGUGUAGCGGUGAAAUGCGUAGAUAUAUGGAAGAACACCAGUGGCGAAGGCGGCUGUCUGGUCUGUAACUGACGCUGAGGCUCGAAAGUAUGGGUAGCAAACAGGAUUAGAUACCCUGGUAGUCCAUACCGUAAACGAUGAAUGCUAAGUGUUGGAGGGUUUCCGCCCUUCAGUGCUGCAGCUAACGCAUUAAGCAUUCCGCCUGGGGAGUACGGCCGCAAGGCUGAAACUCAAAGGAAUUGACGGGGGCCCGCACAAGCGGUGGAGCAUGUGGUUUAAUUCGAAGCUACGCGAAGAACCUUACCAGGUCUUGACAUACUAUGCAAAUCUAAGAGAUUAGACGUUCCCUUCGGGGACAU